ensembl:lncRNA
GAGAGAGAGAGAGAGAGAGAGAGAGAGAGACGGUAUAUGGAACUCAAAGAUAAGACUAGGAGGUAAGUCGGAUCCACCAGGAAAUGAUGGAGUGAUAAGGUCAUCAUGUAAGGUAGCCCCGCCCCCCAUGGUGAGCCCAGCCCGCCCUCAGUGCCCCCGCCCUCCCCCCUUCCUGAGGACCCCCAUGGCUCUGAUAGCCCUGCAUGGGGGGGAUACUCUCCGUCCCACGUGACCCAGCACUGCGUUCUGCAGCACUCCAUGUUGUCCAAUGGGAGGCCCUAGAGGCACAAGCCCCGCCUUGAUGCGGCUGUGAUUGGUCAGGGGACAGUUGAAUGAAAUCGUGGGCGUCUCGUGCCCGGGCCUGUCUGCCUUCUGACAGGAAGUGGGUUGUGUGACCCGGGGCGACGCAAGGCAUUUACAAACAGGAGGCGGGACGAAGGAAGACAUGAUGAAUGAACAUCAAGAAAGACGAGAACCGCACCAAGAAAGGAAUGAAUGGAACAGACAGACAGGUAGACAGGCAGGCAGGAAGACAAACAGACAGUCAGUCAGGCAGACAGGCAGUCAGGCAGACAGACGUACAGACCGAUUUGAAUGCUCAAUAGCGUCAGCUGCAUCAGAGAGGAAACAAAUGAUCCUUUUUUAAAUCGCAGCAGCCAUUAGUCACCCACUCUGACUGAUGCAACGUUCCGGAAACACCCGGUUAUGAGAUCAAAGAGGGGGGGUCAGAAAUGUGUGCUUACAGCCUCCGUCUCAGAUAAGAUAACACGAUACUUUAAUAAUCCCACACAGGAAAUGACUGUACGCCGUUGUAAUGUAAGACAAGGAAAGGAGGAAACGUAAACUCGGGCAACCGAGAGAAUCACGGCUUCUAAUUUGUAAUAAACAAGAUAUACAUAAUGUAAACAUUAACAUCAGACAGGGCCGUCUGUUUCGUCUCAGUCUCGACCCCGGGACCUUUGGCUGGGGGACGGUACGGCCAAACGAUGAUGACGUCACCAAACGCGGGCUCUGACCUCGGACUGUGAAUCACGUCACGGGAUCGCUUUCCUCUCCCCCAUCGGAGAAACACAAUAAAAAAACCCUGUGUAGAAACAUAGCGAUCCAGACAACCAACCAAACAGACGGGGGGCCUAACGUCUCUGUGUAGAAUGGGCCCUCGUGAGGCUGUCUUGGCUAUCUCUCCAGGUUCCUAGGAACCCAUGGUUUGGGCGAAACGCGGGACCUGGGUUUAGAACAAUGGACCGACCCGCCCGUCCCAGGUUCUUCCCCCUUUUGAGUCGGCAGGUGCCCCCAUGAAACCAAUGGCCCAUUAAAGAGGAUCUGAAGUGACUGAUUAACUCUGUGACUCACCGGCAGAUGCUCGCUCUGACGCUACGCUAAGCUAAGCUAAGCUACGCUAUGCUCUGCCACACCCUCCUAGAACCCUUUCCUGAGGCGCCACAAAUACAACUCUCACCUGACGGUUCUUUGUGUUCGAACGUCUAAAUGGUAAAUGGACUGCAUUCAUACUGCGCCUUUUCUAACCGGUGACCACUCAAAGCGCUUUACAACACUGCCUCCCAUUCUCCCAUUCAUGCACACGUUCACACACCCGGCGGCGGAUUAAGCCACGCAAGGCGACAGCCAACUCGUCGGGAGCAGUCAGGGUGAGGUGUCUUGCUCAGCGACGCCUCGACACUUGAACUAGCGUUCUUCCUGUUACCAGCCAACCCGGUCUACCACCUGAGCAUCAUGCUGCCCCAACGUCUGUGGUCUCAUUUACAUUUAAGGCAUUAAGCAGACGGUUUUAUCCGAAGUGACUUACAAUAAGUACAUUUGUCAUAAGAAGUGAAACAAAUAUAGCACUGUCAGUACAGUAAAGAUGGUCCUAGUACCAAGCGCAAGUACUAACAAUCGCCAGGCUAACCCAUACCCCGUGUACGGCAGUGAUAGCAGCUACUGCAGAUGCUACACAAUUAAGUACUAUAAAUAAGUGCGUACAUUAAGUGCCAGGACGUACAACGUACAAUGGUGGCCGGAAGGGGCUGGGUUGCUAGGCAGAGUCGAGGUGAACUCUGAACAGGUGAGUUUUGAGUCUUUUGCGGAAGGCGCGUCGACCGGGUUCGCGCCACGACAUGCCGGAUGCGGUUCCCAUGGCGACAGAGCCCGUGGCAGAACAUUCUGAGACGAGAAAAAAAAAAAGGAUGAAAUGGGGGCGAAAGGAAAGGGGGCAGUCUGCAAAAACAGGCCAGCACAUGGCGACCCCACACUAUGAGGCGGGACGAGGAGGAACCAGGAAACCCUCCUCUUCACGCAGUCUCCGUCCGUCUGCUGCUGACGGAGCCAUCGAUCGCCGGAUAAGAGACGGAUGUUUCCUCUCUCGGCGGCGAGGCGGCGCGCGGACGGCGUUUCUCCGCCCGAGGCGGUUUGAGUGGAUCACACGGGCCGGCCUGUUCGCCGCGCCCCCGGCCGCGCUGCCGAUCGAUCGGCUGAUUGAUCUGCACCGCUCUCCGGAGGA